rnacentral:rRNA from 2 species
UGGGAUAACGCCGGGAAACCGGGGCUAAUACCGGAUAGUUUUUUCCUCCGCAUGGAGGAAAAAGGAAAGGCGGCUUCGGCUGCCACUUACAGAUGGGCCCGCGGCGCAUUAGCUAGUUGGCGGGGUAACGGCCCACCAAGGCAACGAUGCGUAGCCGACCUGAGAGGGUGAUCGGCCACAUUGGGACUGAGACACGGCCCAAACUCCUACGGGAGGCAGCAGUAGGGAAUCUUCCGCAAUGGACGAAAGUCUGACGGAGCAACGCCGCGUGAGUGAAGAAGGCCUUCGGGUCGUAAAACUCUGUUGCCGGGGAAGAACAAGUGCCGUUCGAACAGGGCGGCGCCUUGACGGUACCCGGCCAGAAAGCCACGGCUAACUACGUGCCAGCAGCCGCGGUAAUACGUAGGUGGCAAGCGUUGUCCGGAAUUAUUGGGCGUAAAGCGCGCGCAGGCGGCUUCUUAAGUCUGAUGUGAAAUCUUGCGGCUCAACCGCAAGCGGUCAUUGGAAACUGGGAGGCUUGAGUGCAGAAGAGGAGAGUGGAAUUCCACGUGUAGCGGUGAAAUGCGUAGAGAUGUGGAGGAACACCAGUGGCGAAGGCGGCUCUCUGGUCUGUAACUGACGCUGAGGCGCGAAAGCGUGGGGAGCAAACAGGAUUAGAUACCCUGGUAGUCCACGCCGUAAACGAUGAGUGCUAAGUGUUAGAGGGUUUCCGCCCUUUAGUGCUGCAGCUAACGCAUUAAGCACUCCGCCUGGGGAGUACGGCCGCAAGGCUGAAACUCAAAGGAAUUGACGGGGGCCCGCACAAGCGGUGGAGCAUGUGGUUUAAUUCGAAGCAACGCGAAGAACCUUACCAGGUCUUGACAUCCUCUGACCUCCCUGGAGACAGGGCCUUCCCCUUCGGGGGACAGAGUGACAGGUGGUGCAUGGUUGUCGUCAGCUCGUGUCGUGAGAUGUUGGGUUAAGUCCCGCAACGAGCGCAACCCUUGACCUUAGUUGCCAGCAUUGAGUUGGGCACUCUAAGGUGACUGCCGGUGACAAACCGGAGGAAGGUGGGGAUGACGUCAAAUCAUCAUGCCCCUUAUGACCUGGGCUACACACGUGCUACAAUGGAUGGUACAAAGGGCUGCGAGACCGCGAGGUUAAGCCAAUCCCAGAAAACCAUUCCCAGUUCGGAUUGCAGGCUGCAACCCGCCUGCAUGAAGCCGGAAUCGCUAGUAAUCGCGGAUCA